AGGUUAGAGAUAAACUCCCUGUGAUUUCACGUUACACUUGUCUAUUCACACAGAGGCAGAAUGCUGCGGAAGAAUAAAUGCAGUCUUCUGUAUUUUGACUUUCAUUUUGUAAAAGUCCCUGAUAAUAUUCCUCACUUCUCCUUGUCAAUUAUUUGUAUUAUUCAUGUUGGCUCAUGAAAGGCUUUAUCAAAUUCUGAAUACUAAUUAUUUAUCUUUUAUAGCUGUAAAAAAAAAACUUUUCCAAGUCUGUAAGUUUAACCUCUUUCCCUUGUGUUUUGAUAACUGAAUAUUUGUAAUUUUUUUAAUCGAGUCAAAUGAAUAAAAACUCUCAUUUUUUUGCUCCUGCUUUUGGCAUCUUAUUUUAAAAACAUUUCCUACUUUGAAGGUCAUGAAGACAUUCUCUUAUAUUUUCUUCCAAUAUGCUGAAGUUUUUUUUCUUUCAUCUUUUCAUCUUUAAACACCCUAGGACCUGUUUUAGUGCAGAUCUGAGCUAGAGAGAGAACACUGUUUUUCACUCCAGAUUGCCACAUAGGCCAGUGUCACUUUGUAAUUACCUCUGUGUUCCAAAAGAUGUGCAAUGCACCCUGUACCACUGCAAAUUGCUACGUACAUGCUGCUUUGCUGUUUUAUUCCUGGAAUCUCUUUUCUGUUCCUUUGAUCUUUUUCCUCUUCGGUGCCAAUACCAAACAGUGCUAAUCAUUAUAGCUUUAUAAUAGUCUUGAGUUCUGAUUUCUAAAAAGAUGCAUUCCCUCCGUUCUUGUUAUUUCUCCCUCAAUCAGUACAUUCCUGUGCUCUCUCGAAUGAAACUGAGAUUCAGCUCAUCAGGUUGUAUGAAGGUAACUUGUUGGGAUUUUCCUUGAACUGCAUUCAACUUAAGAAUUCCCCGAGAGAUACAGGAUAUCUUUGCAGUGCUGUCUUCACCAUUGUCAUUUACAUUCUUCCAUAGCACUCUGGCCAUUUGAACAGCUGCAAUCAAAAAGUGUUGAUUCGUGGCUCAAUGUCAAUGAGAAUAAAAAUUUCUGCUGGUUGAAUACAGGAGUAUGUCCUUGGCUUUAUCCUUUCAAAAAUAUUUGCCAAUCAAUUAUUCAGAUGACACCAAUCUGGAGAGCAAUUGUCAGAAAUGAUAUAAUGAAAAUUCAGAAUGAUCCCAACAGUCCAUGUGCACGAUCAAAGCCAAGGCAAAAUUUAACAAGUAGAUAGGCUGAGCCCAACAGCAGUCUCUGAAAAACAUACAAAUGCAGAAUGGUUGCAGAGGGAAUAUUGGUUUGAUAUCAAACUAUGUGAAAGGAAUUUUUGUAGCACAAGGACAGAAUCCAGGUGGUCACCUAUCCUGCACAGAAUAUGAAGCAGUAAUAUGAAUGUGACCAUCUAAGGCACCAAUGAGAACUUUCUGAUGUGCAUUAUUCAGUUCAUGUGAAUUCCAAGUUACCCAUAACUCACAUCUACAGCACAUCUUUAGGUGUGUUGUCUGAUGCUACUCAUGGGGAGACGUGAACAAAUACCUACUCACCACAUAUAGAGAAUUUACAACAGAGCAGGGUAAUGAUGCCGUCUAAGUCCGACUUGGUGAAGUAGUAAAUUUAUUAGGGUUACUUAAAGGAGUAUGGACAACUCAGUCAGCUGCAUAACCAAAGGUCCACUAAGCUGGGUGACAACUCACAGGUAGAGCUUGUAGACAGCAAGACACAAAAGUCAAGCUUCUAUUAACUUGGCAAGUAAAGGGCCUUAAGAAUGUGCUAAGUUUCAGGGACUUUCUGAAGUGUGUAAGUUGUUUACUUUCUGAUGCUUGAGGAAACUUCCUUUAAAUUUUCUGAGUUUCAACCAGCUUUCUGCUAGUAUAGAAUGCUGAAAUUGGAAAUUAUUAUCUGGUGGAACGCCACAGCAAUAUAUCUCAGAGGACUCAAGGCAAUAAACAAGAGAGAUGAAAUGCUGCCCAUCCAUGAUCUGGGUCAAGAGAUACCUACAUUGUUGCUGCUCUAACAUCAAAGCCACAAAGAAAAACGCAUACUAUCCUGCCUACAUGGGCGAAAUUCUGGCUCACCCUGAAGACAUCCCCAGCAAGGGAUGGGUCAGGCACACUGGAGGUAGUAACUAUCUACUGGAAUUUUGCUGGCAGAUUAUAGCAACCAUCUCCCACAAGUACUGUAGGAACCUGGCAUCAGGUGUUGCUCUGUGUGGUGAGUAGUCACCACUGUGAAAUUAUCCUCAUCUUCUGUCUGGUCAGCAAGAGAUUCUCCCAUCAUUGAUCUGAGGAAGAAACAAGAAAAAGCAGCUUAAGACAGAACCUCAGGAGACAUCUACCUUGAAUUUUUUUUUUUUUUUUGAGACAUGGCCUCUCUUCGGCCUGAGGCUUGCUAAUUAGGCUGUCUGCUCAACAAGUCCCUGGGGACCUUCCUGUCUCUGCCUCUACAGCACUGAAAUUGCAAGCCAGGCACAUGGCUUUCACUGAUUUCCUACCUUAUUUUUAGCUAAACUGUCAGGCUAGUGAGUCCCAAGAAUACUCCCAUUUCUAACUUCCAGCAAUGGGAGUUACAGGCAUGGGCUGCUGUCCCUGGACAUUUAAAAAAAUUUUUUUCAUUCUUUGACAAUCUCAUAAAUGUAUGUAAUUAAUUUUGUCAUAUUCACCCCAUUACCCUCUCUUAUCUGUCCUCAUUCCCUCUGAGCCUCUCCUUCCUCCUGACAAGUCUACCUCCUAUUUUCAUGUCUCUCUCAUUUUUAAAAUAUUUUUAUUGAUUAUUUGAGAAUUUUACACCAUGAACCUCGAGCACACUCUUUCCAGUUCUCUCAGAACCCACCCUUACCUUUGACCUACUCCCAUCCCCCCACCCC
rnacentral:lncRNA from 1 species